UACGAAGGGGGCUAGCGUUGCUCGGAAUCACUGGGCGUAAAGCGCACGUAGGCGGGUCGUUAAGUCAGGGGUGAAAUCCUGGAGCUCAACUCCAGAACUGCCUUUGAUACUGAGAGUCUUGAGUUCGGGAGAGGUGAGUGGAACUGCGAGUGUAGAGGUGAAAUUCGUAGAUAUGGGGAGGAACACCGGUGGCGAAGGCGGCCAUCUGGACGGAUACUGACGCUGAGACGCGAAAGCGUGGGGAGCAAACAGGG
rnacentral:rRNA from 1 species